GUGCUCUUUUCGGCAGCACACAUACUAAAGUUGGAACGAUACAGAGAUAAGCAUGGCCCCUGCGCAAGGAUGACACAAUAUAAAAAAUUAAAAUGCCCAGAGAU
rnacentral:snRNA from 1 species